CCCGCCACUACGCCUGGCUAAUUUUUUUUUUUUUUUUGUAUUUUUAGUAGAGAUGGGGUUUUACCAUGUUGGCCAGGCUGGUCUCAAACUCAUUACCUCCAGUGAUCCACCUGCCCUGGCCUGCCAAAGUGUUGGGAUUACACAGGCGUGAGCCACCAUGCCUGGCCCUGGCCCAGAAUUUUCAAGAAAUCUAAGGAAGGCUUUUUUGUGCUCUAAGUGUCCUUGUCUGUAAGGUAGGGGGGAUAAAGUGCCCUUGACUUCCCAAGGUUACUAUGCAGAUUGAACAAUAUAAUCCUCCCGGGUUGGCCUUGAGUCUUGUCAGACCUGAAGCUUAUGACAAUUUGAGAGCUCGCUUUGAGAAAAGAAACACAAAAAAUGAGGUGUGUGGCUUUAGAAGGAGCACAAAUGGGGUCCCCGAUGUUUAAGCUGCUUUAGUGUUACAGUAAAGCCACCUCUGAAUACCCAGAAGUGUUAGCUCUUACAACUUCCACCAACUCAGUCUUCUCCAAGCCUCUUGGUGGACUCAGAGGAGGACAGGGAGGCAGCCACUCUGGCCGGCCAGGGCCCUCCUCCCAGGUCCCUGGAACACAGGCGCACCAACCACAGCUGCGUCCUGGCCUGGGCAUCACGUGACGUCCCAGAGUGAUUCACGCUGCUAUUUCAGUGCUGCUGCAGUCAAGGGUAGGGAGAGGCAUGGCGAGGCUGUAUCUGGAGUCAGCUUGGAGGCCGUAGUUCCUGCAGCAGUGGCACUGAAGGUACAGCGAGGGUGACUGAGUCUCAGCAGAGCAAAUUCCCAACUUUAAAGUUUUCUCAAUAUCAGAAAAACUAGGAGAGCUGGAUCUCAGUGUAAGUGGGGAGUAGGGGUUAGGGAAGGGCUGCAGCUCAGAAUUGGGGCUCUGUAGACCUGGAAUUUUUGUUUGAAACUCCUAAGAAAUCUCUUAAUUUCUUACUUAACUGAGUGAUCCUAACUUGUAGCUCUUCUGCAAAGAUAGAACUGGCAUCCUUAUUAGUGGGGAAAAUAAAGUACUGUAGAGUUCUGUCCAAUUCCGAGGACUUGUAUAGAGCCAGGCACUGUGCCAGAUGCUUCAAGGAAUAAAAUGAUAAUUAUUAUCUAAUAAUUAUUAAUCAGAGAACCCUGGAGCCCAGUCCUGGGCCUUGCUAUCCACACCCCCCUCCCUGGGAGAUCCAGCCAGUCUUGUGGCUAUAAAUGCCAUCUCAGAUGACUCCCAUAAACCUGUCCUCUGCACAGAUCUCACCCCCCAGUCCCAGACUUAUCUAUCCAGCUGCCAUCUGGACAUCUUCGUGUGGAUGGCUGACAGACUUCCCGGGGUGCUCAAAUCAUAAUUCCCAAUAUCCCUCUCAACCCCGCCUGCCCUUGACUUCCUCUUGCCAAUGGCAUCAUUAUUCUUUCAGCGGCUCAGGCUGAAAACUGUGGAAGCAUUCUCGACUCAUCCUCUUUCACAGCCCGCAUCCAGUCCAUCAGCUAAUUCCGUCAGCUGGACGCAGACCCCCGGGACCCCCUCAGGGUGUAGGGGGAAGGAGUGUUGCUCCUUGGACUGGUAGAUGCCCAGAGUCAGAGGUGACAAUGUGCUUAGACACCCUGCAAGGGGCCCCCCCAGCCUAGGCACGCAGGCCAUAUAUAGCCUCUGUAAGAUGUGGGGUUGGGUUAGGGGGCGGGAGGAGAGACUCUGUAUUUCAGGGGACCACUGAGGUGAGGCCAGCUCAGCAGCAGCCAUGGCACACAGUGGAUCAGAGCCCUUCCCAAGGGUUAAGGACCAUGUGAACUGGGAACAGGAUGAGUUCCUCACAGCUGAGUAGGAUAGAGGCUUACGUCAGAACAAGGUGAUCCCAAGGCAAUGGUUUUUUUUCUUUCUUUCUUUUUUUUUUUUUUUUUUUGAGACAGAGUCUCUUUCUGUCACCCGGUCUGGAGUGAAGUGGCGCAGUCUCAGCUCUCUGCAACCUCUGCCUCCCAGGUUCAAGCAAUUCUUCUGCCUCAGCCUCCCAAGUAGCUGGGAUUACAGGUAUGUGCCACCAUGCCUGGCUAAUUUUUGUAUUUUUAGUAGAGAUGCGUUAUUUCCAUGUUGGCCAGGCUGGUCUCGAACUACUGACCUCAGGUGAUCCACUCGCCUCGGCCUCCCAAAGUGCUGAGAUUAUAGGCAUGAGCCACUGCGCCCGGCCGAGGCAAUGGUUUUCAGCUAGGGUGUCCCCAGCUGUCAUUUGGCAAUGUCUGGAGACAUUUGGGUUGUCAUAACUGAGUGUGUGUGUGUGUUUGUGUGCACAUGCUGUAGUGGCCAAGGAUGCUGCUAAACACCCUACAAGGCACAGAAUAGCCAUCACAAUUAUUUGGCUCCAAAUGUCAAUAGAGCUGAGGGAGAGAAAUAUUAAUAUAAACACAGCAGUUCCUGCACACCGAGGUUGAGGCUCAAGGGUGAAACCUGCCUGCUACAUGGCAAGCAGAUUGCAACUGACCACAGCACAUAAUAUGACACCCAAUGGCAAGAGAACGAUGUCAAGGGUCACUGAGAGAGAUGAAAGAUGGUGCAUAUUCAUUGACACCCCUCUCAUUGCAAAGUGGGAGGUCUGUGUCCCCUCCCCUUGAAUUCCAUGGAGUUGGGACUACUCUGACCAAUAGAAUACAACAGAAAUAACAUCUUGCAGUUUCCAAGCCUUAUAAAACUGGCAGCUUCCACUUCUUGUUUCUUGGGACACACUGCCUUGGAGCCUGUGCUGCCACUGAAGAAGUCUGAGUGCCCUGAGGCCACCAUGGUGUGGGGAAGCCCACGCUAGCCUUGUGGCAAGCCAACUGUUCCGCAACAUAGUGCGGGCUCCAGGUAACAUGAAGGAAGCUGUCUUGGGCCCUCUAGCCCAGCCCAGUCUCCAGCGAAUCCCACUGAGUGACCCUAGUCAAGCCCACAUGGAGCAGAAGAAUCACCUAGCUGAGCCCUGACCCACAAAAUCUUGAGAAGGAAUUAAAUUGCUAUUGUUCCCAGCCAGAAAAGCAAGGUAGCUUAAGGUAGUUUGUUCCACAGCAGUAGGUAACUAGAACAGUCAUGUCCAAGGAUUUGUUCCUGCACUUUCCCCUUCGCCACGUAUGGCAGAAAUUCUCAGGAAUUCUCAUGAGCCAGUGUCAUGCUAGUGCUUGUUGCAUCUGCUCCUCUCCAGCCGCCCCAGCCCACUGAUCCAAGCACUCUGUGAAAUGACUUUUGUGUGUCGACUUCUUCCCACGAGGAAGACGUUUCUUUCAUUGCCAUGUGCUGGACCCCAGUGCAGAGCCCGGGGCAUUGUCAGUGCUUAGUGUUUGUUGAAUGAGCCAAUGGAACUGGUCACCCUCCGCUGCCCUGGGGGUCCCUCAGCCUUUCCCAGAAGGUCCCUUGGACCUUCCCUCUGGGCUUCCUCACUCCCUUUUCUGCUUAUUCUUUUCUGAGCCGAAUUGUUGUAGCCCCUCAGAUCCAAAUGGCCCAACCCCACUGUCUCCUUCCCAGCACCUCUGUUGAGAAAUACCAAGUGGUAGAGAGUGUGCCUGUGUGGACGUGGGUGGGAUACGUGCCUCUUCUACACCGCCCGUAGGAAGGUACGCUUAGCAAUAGCUAUUGAAAACACAAAAGUGAUUCUGCUCUUAGGAAUGUCUCCCGCAGGGACCCUACCCUGGUGGCACAGGACGUCUCACACAGCACUGUCUGGGACAGCAAAAGGGAUGGAAACCACCUGAGUCCAACUAUGGAGGACACUGGAAAACACGAUGCUGCCUCCAUAGGAUGGGAUAUUGUUCUGGAGGCUGCAAGCCCAGGUUCAAGGCAUCAGCAGACGGAGUUUAGCUAUCUUUGCCCAGGCUAGAGUGCAAUAGCGUGAUCUUGGCUCACCACAACCUCUGCCUUCCGGGUUCAAGAAUUCUCCUGCCUCAGCCUCCCAAGUAGCUGGGAUUACAGGCAUGCACCACCAUGACCGGCUAAUUUUGUAUUUUUAGUAGAGACGGGGUUUCUCCAUGUUGGUCAGGCUGCUCUCGAACUCCCGACCUCAGAUGGUCUGCCCGCCUCAGCUUCCCAAGGUGCUGGGAUUACAGGCGUGAGCCACCGCGCCCGGCCAAUAUUUUUUGUGGAGUCAGGGUCCUACUAUGUUUCCCAGGCUGGUCUUGAACUUCCAGGCUCAAGCGAUCCUCCUGCCUUGGCCUCCUAAAGUACUGUGAUUCCAGGCCUGAGCCACAGCACCCUGCUGGCUUUCACUUUUUACUUUAUUUCUAUGUUGUUAAAAUCUAUUACAAUAAACAUUACUUUUAAAGGAUUUUGUGCACUUCAAUCCAAAUGUCCCUGAAGCAUCUACCUCCCUCCUGGGCCUUCUCUGAAGUCAGAGUAGGGGCAGCUGAAGCCCUCCCUCUGCUGGCUCCAGGAACGAAACCCCCUGGCCCACUAAGGCCCUUCCCCUGGGGAGGGUGGCGUGGGAUAAGAACACUCAGUAUCUGUCUGGCCCUCUCAAGAUCACUGAGGACUUUCCCAGACAGCCGACAUGGUCUUCAGAUCAGUCUGCCAAACGUCACAUAGAGGCUGGGCACGGUGGCUCACGUCUGUAAUCCCAGCACUUUGGGAGGGCAACGUGGGUGGAUCACCUGAAGUCAGGAGUUCGAGACCAGGCUGGCCGACAUUGCAAAACCUCGUCUCUACAAAAAUAUAAAAGUUAGCUGGGCGUGGUGGCACGCGCCUGUAGUCCCAGCUACUCGGGAGGCUGAGGCAGGAGAAUCACUUGAACCUGGGAGGCGGAGGUUGCAGUGGACCAGGAUCGUACCACUGCACUCCAGCCUGGCCAACAGAGUAAGACUCCAUCUCAAAAAAAAAAAAAAAAUCAGGUGGAGGGGCAUCCUCUGUUUUCCAGGCUCCUGGUUUAUAGCUGCAAGCUCUGGACAUUUAAUACCUUGUAAUCCAUCCUUCCCUUAUAUACCUCUCAACAUAAUGACUGUACAAUAUGGCCAAUGAAACGGAUAGUAAAAUGAAACAUAGGCAAGUAAUAAAGUGAGAUAUGAAGACAGUAGUACAACCUGGAUGAGGGUGGAAUGCAAAAUUGUCAUCAGAGAAGACGACAGGAGGACCUGAGAGCUGGAGGGACGGACGCUUAUCUACCCAAAUGAGGCUAUAAAAAGUAGAAAGAUGGCAGGGUAAAAAUGGGGGAGGGCUGCCACUUAAGACUCUCAGGAAACAGUGAUGCAUCAGACUUUAUCAUUAAGUCCCAGGGGAGAGGAGUGGAUCUGGGGAUCCCUUUAGAUAUGGUAGAAUUCUCCUGGGUCCUGCUCUGGUCUUAAAUCUCAGACCAGUAGCAGGAAAACCCUAACUGUACUGUGGUCCUGAAUGUCACUGCAACUUCAGCCCUGCUGUGGUGGUGUAUCUGCUCCUCUGGCUGGCUCUGCCACCUUGAAAGGUGAGACCAUGUGGAGCAGAGCCAAGGGGCCUCAGCUGACAGCCAGCACCAACCAUCAGUCAUGUGAGUGAGACCACCUUGGACCCCCAACCCCAGUUGGGUUGUCAGAUGACUAUAGCUGCAGGUACAAGAGUGACCCAGUGACACCAGCAGAUGAACCGGCUAGCUUAGCUCAGCCCAAACUGCUGACUUAGAACUGUUGUUAUGUUAAGCCAGUACAUUUUCAGUGACUCAUUACAAAGCAGUAGAUAACUGUGACAGUCUAAGAGGAUCUAAGUUUGGAAACAGGAUUGAAUAUUUAAGAUAACUGAUUUGCCAGAUUUAUAAGUUUAUUAGUAUAUAAGAGUUGCUUGGCUGGGCACAGUGGCUCAUGCCUGUAACCCUAACACCUUGGAAGGCUGAAGCAGGAAGAUUGCUUGAGCCCAGGAGUUUGAGACCAGCCUUGGCAACACAGUGAGACCCAAUCUCUUAAAAAAAAAAAAAAAAAAAAAAACUCCGUCUCCCUCUCGCUCUCCGUCUCCCUCUCGCUCUCCCUCUCCCCACGGUCUCCCUCUCAUGCGGAGCCGAAGCUGGACUGUACUGCUGCCAUCUCGGCUCACUGCAUCCUCCCUGCCUGAUUCUCCUGCCUCAGUCUGCCGAGUGCCUGCGAUUGCAGGCACGCGCCGCCACGCCUGACUGGUUUUGGUGGAGACAGGGUUUCGCUGUGUUGGCCGGGCCGGUCUCCAGCCCCUAACCGCGAGUGAUCCGCCAACCUCGGCCUCCCGAG
rnacentral:lncRNA from 1 species